rnacentral:rRNA from 1 species
AUUGAACGCCGGCGGCAGGCUUAACACAUGCAAGUCGAGCGGGGGAAGGUAGCUUGCUACCGGACCUAGCGGCGGACGGGUGAGUAAUGCUUAGGAAUCUGCCUAUUAGUGGGGGACAACAUCUCGAAAGGGAUGCUAAUACCGCAUACGUCCUACGGGAGAAAGCAGGGGAUCUUCGGACCUUGCGCUAAUAGAUGAGCCUAAGUCGGAUUAGCUAGUUGGUGAGGUAAAGGCCUACCAAGGCGACGAUCUGUAGCGGGUCUGAGAGGAUGAUCCGCCACACUGGGACUGGGACACGGCCCAGACUCCUACGGGAGGCAGCAGUGGGGAAUAUUGGACAAUGGGGGGAACCCUGAUCCAGCCAUGCCGCGUGUGUGAAGAAGGCCUUAUGGUUGUAAAGCACUUUAAGCGAGGAGGAGGCUACUUUAGUUAAUACCUAGAGAUAGUGGACGUUACUCGCAGAAUAAGCACCGGCUAACUCUGUGCCAGCCGCCGCGGUAA